GGUAACGGCUUACCAAGGCUACGAUCAGUAGGGGUCCUGAGAGGGUUUUCCCCCACACUGGUACUGAGACACGGACCAGACUCCUACGGGAGGCAGCAGUGAGGAAUAUUGGUCAAUGGGCGAGAGCCUGAACCAGCCAUCCCGCGUGCAGGAAGACGGCCUUAUGGGUUGUAAACUGCUUUUCUUAACCAAGAAAAGGGCCGACGUGUCGGUCACUGACGGUAGUUAAGGAAUAAGCAUCGGCUAACUCCGUGCCAGCAGCCGCGGUAAUACGGAGGAUGCAAGCGUUAUCCGGAUUCAUUGGGUUUAAAGGGUGCGCAGGCGGGGAUGUAAGUCAGUGGUGAAAAGCUGCCGCUUAACGGUAGUCUUGCCAAUGAUACUGCAUUUCUUGAGUAUGGUUAAGGUAGGCGGAAUGUGCAGUGUAGCGGUGAAAUGCAUAGAGAUUGCACAGAAGGCCGAUUGCGGAGGCAGCUUACUGAGCCAUAACUGACGCUGAGGCACGAAAGCGUGGGGAUCGAACAGGAUUAGAUACCCUGGUAGUCCACGCCGUAAACGAUGUUCACUCGCUGUUUGCGAUAUACAGUAAGCGGCUAAGCGAAAGCAUUA
rnacentral:rRNA from 1 species